CACCCCUCCAAAGGUUCUAAGCAUCAUCACCAACACACUCUCUCUCUCUCUGAGUCUGUGUCGGUGUACAUUCAAUCAGUCAAGUUUUUUGGCUUACCCUCUUGAGCAUUUCUUGUUUUUGGCUUCCAUUUGCUUUUGCAGCAAUGUGGCCAACUUUAAUUAUCUGGUUGUUCCUGUUUGAAACCAUUUCAUGCCAAUCGGUUCUGAGGAUUCGACCGGUUCAUAAAGAAGCGAUCACCGUAAAACACGCCGUUG